AUCUACGGCCAUGCCACCGUGAACAAGCCUGACCCCGUCUGAUCUUGGAAGCUAAGCAGGGUCGGUCCUGGUCCAUACUUGGAAGGGAGACCACCUAGGAAGACCAAGUGCUGUAGGCG
rnacentral:rRNA from 1 species